UCCGCGCUUCAAAGGCGGAGUGCGGGGCUGUGGGAGAAAGCAAGAGCCUCAGGCUGUCGCCCGGCGACGGACGGCUGAGGCCUUCGUAUUCUUAGCACUUUUAAAAUAUAAAACAAACUUAUCUUCCCCGUCUGAAGAAGGGGAGCAUGUUUCUGAGUACUCUGGGGCGCGCUGCCUCCCCCCAAACGCGAAUGGUUCGCUCCAAGCGGGAGGGGAGGAGCAGAUUAGUUGUUUAGGGUAAAUUGGGCCAGUCCCAGAUCGGCGGCGCAUGCGCCCGCAGACCCCGUAACCGAGGGCGAGGAGGGGCCUAGGGGAGCUUUGCCAAACGCGGAAGUGGAGCUCUGGCUUCCCGGGGACAUACGAGUCAAGGUCCCCAGAGCUGUCGCUCUAGCUCCUGGACGAUGUCUGGGAGCCUUUCUUCCCAAACUGCCGGCUACCCGGGAAUGUCUCUUCCUAGUCCCCCCAAAUCCCAAGCAACUCUUCCAGUUCCACCCGGUGAACUGGUCUCUUGAUAGGAACUUCUGGGAAAUGCCCCUCCCCCAGCCCCUUGGUCAAUUCCUUGUUUCUUCUCCCCACCACCGGUGUGGGGGAGUUCCUUGUCUCCCCACUCACAACCACAGAGCUACAAGUCCAUUCCCUAUGCCUAGGCUAGGAGAGCCGCACUUCUUCCUACAGCUGACAGGUUUGGUUUUUGGAGGGGAAAGGGGAACUGUUUCGGAAUCAGUAAUGGAAAUCGCCAGCCGUGAACAAAGAAACCGAUUACUGAUGACUAAGUUCAACGCGGAUGCAACAUUCUCCAGACCUCUCGGAGGGAUGACCCAUCGCUGAGACCCUUGUGAGCGAACUCUAAAUUCCUGCUACUUCCAAGAAGACUUCCUGGCUCUUAGGAAUAACUGCCAUAUAUACCCUGCUGGUCUGACGGGGAUAGGAGAGCUUCAGAGAGAGUAUUAUCUAGAUUAAUUUGAUUACCAAAUGUUGCUAUCUUCUUUAUAUACCAAAUCACAUUUCUGUUUGCAUUCUCUGUGGGUUUGUUAACAUUGAUAUUUCGUUUGACCUCUAAAGAGCAAGGAUCACAUUAAGCUUAGUAUGCCACAGAUGACGGUGAAGUGAAUGAUUGCAAAAAUCAAGCCACUUAAAGCCGAAACACCCCGAAACUUAUUUAUUAUGCACAGUUUUUGUGGAUUUUCCAAAGCCUUCAAUAAGUAUACCUGUAAGAAAGUUCAUAGAAAGGCGGGUGCAGUGGCUCACGCCUGUAAUCCCAGCACUUUGGGAGGCCAAGACGGGUGGAUCACCUUAGAUCAGGAGACUGAGACCACCAGCCUGGCCAACAUGGUGAAACCCCGCUCUAGCUUAAAAAAAAAAAAUUAGCUACUCGAGAGUCUGAGGCAGGAGAAUCGCUUGAACCCAGAAGGCAGAGGUUGCAGUGAGCAGAGGCCAUUGCACUCCAGUCUGGGCAACAAGAACAAGAGAGCGAAACUCGGUCUCAAAAAAAAGAAAAAGAAAAAAGUGCAUAGAAAGGAUGAAGCCAUACAGCACACCUUGCUCUCAUUGGAUUCAUAUUACCCUUAUAUCUUCACUUAAACCGACAUGAAAUUGUCACAUAUAUGAGAUACAGCCUCUGAGUUCAACAAAGAUUAAGUGGGACUGUCUCUCUAUUGGCAUCUUGAUAAUUUUAUGUACAGCAAAGGAAACUUGGCAACUAAAAAGAGAAUUUAACACGACAUGUGAUUGUCAUCUUCCAAACUGCUUUCCCACCUGUUUGCCAGUUAUUCAACAAACAUUUAUUGAGUACUCAGUAUAUGCAAGGAAUUUCCACGCACUCUGGAGACUAAAAGGAUCAAUAAAAUGUAGCAUUCACUAACAAGUCCCUACAUAGAAGUCAGAUAAUUUGGUUCCAGUCUUCUCAGACUUCAUUUUCCACCUUUCUCUAUUCACCCUGCAAAGCAGACACUGGUUGCCAUUCCUCAAACACACCUUGCUUUCUCACAUCUCCAUUCCUUUGUUGUCAAUGUUCCUGACUGCCUCAGCUGCCUUUCCUUUUACACAUACACACGGAAAUAAUCUUAUACAACCCAAGGGCACAGAGGGCAGUAAGAUCUCUUGAAGGACUGAAAUAGAGAACUAAUAUAUCAACAGGAAGCCAAGUGUUAGGCUUUUUUCUAUUUUUUUUUUUUCUCUGAUCACAUGUUCUUCCAUCUCUGCUUCUCUCUACAAAGCUGCUUUAUAAUCUCUGCAGACCUGUUUUCACUGCUUUUUUGGGAACAUAAUCCAGAUUUACCCAGCCUCACUUCAGGAACCAACAGACUAAUUAGUAUCUGAAUCCCAAUCCCCAGGAGAAAGAAGUUGAUUGGUUCAAUUUAUGUCAGCUUGUGUACUCUUGGUACAAUCACCUUUGACCAACAGGGCGAUUUGUAGCCAGGACUCUUUGUUUUGUAAUGCAAACAUGGCUGCCAGAACUCCAUCUUUGUAGGCUACGUUCUCAAAGAAAGUCAGUUCUGUACUUGGCAAAGAUUCCAGAAAAUGUCCAGCACAGACCAGAAAGGAAUAAAUCGCAGCUGAAAUUCAGAAGCAUAAAGAACAAUGGACAUGUUGAGGAUUUUCAAAAGACUAACUCCUACUUAAACAAUUUCAGACCUGAAUUUAAAUGGCUCUCCUUCCAAAAAGUCAUCACUGACCCAAGCCCCAAUCAAAAUUAGGUAGCCCCAUUAUUAUCUUAUAUGGUACUCUUUUUUCUGUACCUAUCGCAGUUUAUGAUUAAAUACAUAUUUGUGAGUCUCUUCUCCGAAGAAUCAUCUGUUUUGUUUACUAUGAUAUACACAAUACUCAAGGUGCAUUUGGGAGGCAUUCAAUAUUUGUUGCAUGAAAAAGGCACAAUAAUUUGUUAGUUAAUGUGAGACCCACAAAUGGAUUGGCAUCGUAGUUAGACGAUCCUGGCGGAAUAUCUCAGUCACCAACCCACCCUCCCUAGAAGAUAUUGAAGCUCACUGCUUUUUCCAGUUUUUUUCCUCUGAACUCAUUUAUCACAAGGCCGCCAGCUUUUUUGUCACACUGAGGUUGUAUGAGAUGUGCCACAAUAUUUAUCUGCUGCUUAUGAUGUUCUUCCCCAGCUAACUCUUUACUCUUAGUUCCCAGUGUCUCUAUCUGUAGAGCCCUUGAUCCAGUUCCUAUAACAAGCCCACUUAGCUGACUGAAAGCUCAGAGAGAGGACAUAAAAUUUCGGGGCAUCAUCAAAUUAGGGGAGCAAAGUGUGGGGGUAAUUGGCAGAAGUGCUUUUGUCGUAAUUGUCUUGACUGUUUUCUAUCAUGGAUUAUGUUCCAGAUGAACCUGUGAUGUGACUCCUGGGAGUAGUUUGCAAUAACCAUUGGCCCAAAAGGAGUCAUCUAUGUGCUCAGUGGGGUCUAGUAAAGGAUAAUAUUAAUUCUUCAGCAGCAGAGCUCUUGAAGUAAGAACUGAAGGUGUACAGAAAAGAGCCUGGUAUGAUUCAAGGUCAGGAGCACACAAUGGCUGCUUUCUUGGUAAGAAUUCAAAAGACCUACUUAGCCCUGGAAGACAUGACCAAAAAGAAGAGGCUUGUAGAGGCUUGAGAGAAAGCAGAUGAUCUUCCACUCUAAUUCUAAUCCGUAACCUCAAAAUUCGCUCUCAGUUCAAGCUUGUCUUCAUUAUAAUCCAUCCUAACCUGGUAUUAGCCCCAAUGUCCAAUCCAAACUCUAGCCUUAAUCCUAAUCCUAAUAUUAUUUGUAAAAUUUAAUCUCAGAUCCCAACUCUAAUUCUAUGAGCUUAACAAAGGCUCCUUGCCUUGCCACUGAGUUAUUUUCCCUAGCUCCUUUUUCUUGUGCCCCUUGACCCUGACUGACUCCUUGGAACAGAGAACACUAUAAUAUCCUGGACCCCUGGAGAGAAUAAGAGCCAAUUUCAAUAACCCAGGUUGGAUCCAGGGCCUUGGGCUGCCAGAAAAGAGAAAGUGGGGCAUCUGUCACCAGAGCAGGAGGCAGAGACCCUGCCCAAUCACAUUUCCUAUUGCCUAAUUCAGGGACAGCUAAGCCUCUGAAAGUCCAAAAAACAUGCCCUCCAACUCACCUAUGUACACUCAGGAAUGUGAGGUACAGUUGGCCUACAGCGGAAUACCUGAGACCCCUCUGCAAACAAUAUGAUUAGACAAGUGGCUUUUAUACUGUGUUCUCAGAGAGCAAGAAUUCUGAGUUUUGCUCUCCUCUUUCAUUUAAGUUCGGUUUUCCAAGGGGGUGAGGGUGGAUUUUUUUCAAAAGGGACUGAACCAGAUCCUCUCUAAGGUUCCUUCUGGCCCUUGAGUUUUCUGAUGUGCGGUUGAUUCUUUUAGUCACUUAUGGUCCAGUUGGCAUGGAUAAACUCUCAGAGCCAAGGGAAAAGAAGGGCAACCAAGCAUACCGUCUCCAGCCCAUCUCAGGAAACUAAAAAUAAAUUAAAUAAAAUGAAGAGUGCGACGGGGAGGAGAGGAGAAAAUGCUGCCAUUUCACAUCCCGUGUUCCUCGUGUUCACGAAGCAGUUGCUGAUUUCCCUGCUUCUCACACCCAUCUUGGUGUGAAAUUUGAUUUUGCUGACUUUUAAAUUUCUUUUCGAGAAUGGAAAUAAUUAUUUUUUUCCAGAAAUACUUGACCUUAGUGGGGGAAAAGAAAUUCAAACAAUGAGAAAGCAAAAGUUCUCCCGAAUACCGUCACCCCCCCAGAGAUACCCUUUAUUAACCGUUUGGUGUAUAGCCCUCGAGGCUUUUCAUUUUUGUAUGGUCAUAUAAAUGGAAUCAUGUAAUACAGUA